UACGGAGGGAGCUAGCGUUGUUCGGAAUUACUGGGCGUAAAGCGCGCGUAGGCGGCUUUGUAAGUUAGAGGUGAAAGCCCGGAGCUCAACUCCGGAACUGCCUUUAAAACUGUAUCGCUUGAAUCCAGGAGAGGUGAGUGGAAUUCCGAGUGUAGAGGUGAAAUUCGUAGAUAUUCGGAAGAACACCAGUGGCGAAGGCGGCUCACUGGACUGGUAUUGACGCUGAGGUGCGAAAGCGUGGGGAGCAAACAGG
rnacentral:rRNA from 1 species